rnacentral:rRNA from 1 species
UAGGGAAUCUUCCACAAUGGACGCAAGUCUGAUGGAGCAACGCCGCGUGAGUGAAGAAGGUUUUCGGAUCGUAAAGCUCUGUUGUUGGUGAAGAAGGAUAGAGGUAGUAACAGGCCUUUAUUUGACGGUAAUCAACCAGAAAGUCACGGCUAACUACGUGCCAGCAGCCGCGGUAAUACGUAGGUGGCAAGCGUUGUCCGGAUUUAUUGGGCGUAAAGCGAGCGCAGGCGGAAGAAUAAGUCUGAUGUGAAAGCCCUCGGCUUAACCGAGGAACUGCAUCGGAAACUGUUUUUCUUGAGUGCAGAAGAGGAGAGUGGAACUCCAUGUGUAGCGGUGGAAUGCGUAGAUAUAUGGAAGAACACCAGUGGCGAAGGCGACUCUCUGGUCUGCAACUGACGCUGAGGCUCGAAAGCAUGGGUAGCGAACAGG